GGGUGAAACUUCAUCAAACCUACAGAAGAUAUUACACCCUCUCCAACCAUGCAACAUGGGACUAGACAUAGAAGUACAGGAACUACUCCCAUUAGUUUGAGCUGUACAAGAUCUACAAAAAUAUCCCGCCUGCCUCAAAGGUGCAUAGGAUCGACCAUGGUCCAGCACUAAUGAUACAAGUAUCAACCAGAGUUACAAUGACGUGGUAGUAAGUCUUUAAAGGCCACCGAGCGGCCUCCAAAAAUGAAAAAAAAAUCUAUUUAGUCGGCUAUUAAAUGCCCCGACCAUUAAGAUUUAAAAACAAAAAUCAAACAAAACUAAACAGCCUUAUUGAUAACAAAAUAAUUUACGAAAAAAACUUGACCGACAUGAAUUAUGAACAACAACCACUGUACUACAUGUUCCUGGCUUUAGAAUGGACAUUGGCACAUAAACAAUGUGGUGGCCAUAAACCCAACC
rnacentral:lncRNA from 1 species